rnacentral:rRNA from 1 species
CGGGUGGCAGCAGUGGGGAAUAUUGGACAAUGGGCGAAAGCCUGAUCCAGCCAUGCCGCGUGUGUGAAGAAGGCCUUUUGGUUGUAAAGCACUUUAAGCGGGGAGGAGGGCACCGUGGUUAAUACCCACGAAUGUCGGACGUUACCCGCAGAAUAAGCACCGGCUAACUCUGUGCCAGCAGCCGCGGUAAUACAGAGGGUGCGAGCGUUAAUCGGAAUUACUGGGCGUAAAGCGCGCGUAGGCGGCUUGUUAAGUCAAAUGUGAAAUCCCCGAGCUUAACUUGGGCAUUGCAUUCGAUACUGGCAAGCUAGAGUAUGGGAGAGGAAGGUAGAAUUCCAGGUGUAGCGGUGAAAUGCGUAGAGAUCUGGAGGAAUACCGAUGGCGAAGGCAGCCUUCUGGCCUAAUACUGACGCUGAGGUGCGAAAGCAUGGGGAGCAAACAGGAUUAGAUACCCCGGU